rnacentral:lncRNA from 1 species
AGUUGCUGUUGAGUGGCUGGUAUGCCAUUAUAUGUUUUGUAUAUAACAACUUCUAUCAUUUACUUUUGCAGUUUGUCUUUCUUAUUUCAGAGACCAUCAUUUUAUCUUCAGGCCUAAAAUAUUUCCUGUGGUAUUGAAAACAGCAUAGGCUCUAAGCAUUGUGUCUAUAGCGUUCAAUAAUUAAAGGUACCCUGAACAAGGACAUGUAGGAGUGCUAGUUACAAAAUGUGUAAAAUGUUCUCAAUGAAGGGACCAGAAGGAUUUUGUACUCCAGGGGCUGCAAAAUUGAGUCAAUUCAAGGGACAGGAAGAUAAUGUAAAUGAUUCAUAUCAUGAGAAAAGGAUCAACUAUGGCAAACUAGAGAGCAAUACCUAUAUAACCAACCAACCAACCACCUAAAAAUAUGUUUCUAAUCAAUCACAACAUGGCAGAUUGGGCCUGUAGAUUAUUGACCUCUGAUUCCAAGGCUUAAGAAUGUGAUGUGAGUUGCCUGGGGUUUCACAAAAUGUAGCUGCCACAGCCAGAACUCUAGCCCAUGUCUCCUAAGGAUUCAUUCAGUAUGUGCUUCCUCUUACUGCCAUACUUCUCUUUUGUAGGUUGUCCACUUUCCCUAGAAAAGGGGAAGAACUUUGAGGACCUGUUAUGUGCUCCAGACCUGCUUUUAAUCUUCAUCAUAUAUUUGAGAUUGUUGUUAAUAGCCUCAUUCUUCAGAUGAGACAACUGAGAUGCAGCAAUGUUAAGUACAUAGCAGGACUGCCUCUCCUAGCAUCCCUUGCAGCUAGGUGAAGUCAUGUGACUGCAUUCUGGCCAAUGGUGUGUGUGCAUAAAUCUUGCAUAUCCCUUCCAAGCAGACUCCUAAAGCCUCCUUUGAAAUUCUUCAUGCUUUGUUUUUUCCUUUAUCUGUCUCCUGAAUUUUGAGGACCAUCCGAAACCUUUGAAAUCCUAGAAGAUGGCACAGCCACCAGAUGAAAGAAGCCUGAUCCCUAACUAAUGUGUGGAGCUGAGUGGAGGGGAGCAAAAAUGAUGACCCUGGGCUGUGAUGUGAGUGACAAAUAGAAAAAGACUUGUAUUUUUUUAAUACAUUGAAAUGUUAGUCUAUACUAACCCAUAUGAUUGUAUUAGCAAAAGAUAUAGAUAGCAGCAUUAUUUAUAAUACAGGUUGAAUAUUCCUUAUCCAAAAUGCUUGGGAGCAGAAGUGUUUGCAUAUUGGUUCUUUUCAGAUUUGGGAAAAUUGGCAUAUACAUAACGAGAUAGCCUGGGAAUGAGACCCAAGUCUAAAUAUGAAAUUCAUUUAUGUUUCAUAUAAACCUUACACACAGAGUCUGAAGGUAAUUUUUUAUAAUAUUUUAAAUAAUUCAGUGCAUAGAAUAAAUUUUGAUUGUGUUUUGACUGCAACCCAUCACAUGAGGUCAGGUGUGGAAUUUUACACUUGUGACAUCGUGUCAGCACUAAAAAUGUUUCAGAUUUUGAAGCAUUGCAAAUUCUGGACUUUUGAAUUAGGGAUGCUCAAUCUGUAAUAAAAAAGCAUCAACUACCAUUUGGUAAAGACAAACUACCAAAGAGAAUUUUAGUAAAGAGUAUGAAUUAUUCAUAAUGUAAUCCAUUCAUGAAAAGCAAUUGUUGUGAACAUUAUGUUGUAAUAUAAAAAAAGCUAACAUUUUGAUGUAAAAAUCAGACUGUUGUAGAUGCAUUCUUAUAUAAUUCUUAUUCAUAAGCUAAAAAUGCUUGUAAUAUUAAAACACAGGAAGUAAAUACAUCACAAUGUCAACUACAGUUGUGUUAAAACAUAUAGAUUGAGG